rnacentral:lncRNA from 1 species
AUAAAGAACGGAGAGCGCUGGAGUUCUAGCAGAUCCUUUAUUCCAAAUGACGUCCGCAGAAAAAAAAAUUUUGACGUCGCACUUUAUUCCCAUGUGACAAAGGUUCUUUUUGAAGGCGCAACUGCUGUAGGAGUGGAGUACAAGCGCUACAGCGGAACACACUCCGUUCGGGCAAAGAAAGAAGUAAUUCUUUGCGCCGGAGCCAUAGCCUCUCCUCAGCUGCUGAUGCUUUCAGGCAUAGGACCUCGAGAACAUCUCGAGUCUCUUGGGAUAAACGUAAUAGCAGACCUUCCUGUGGGAGAAAAUCUAUUCGAUCACAUGACCGUGAACGGAAUAGCGGCAACAUCUGCAAAGAACAUCGAAAUCAACUAUUAUUUACCGUCUACAAUACCACUGUAUUCACUGUUUAGAACAGGGCCACUUAUUCAUGCUUUUGGUGUCGAAGGUAUCGCCUUCUUAAGCACACCAGACGUCGAUCCCACUCAUCCGAACAUUCAAUUUCUCUUCGUGACCCUGAAUCCCACUACUCCUGAAGCAGGAUACAUAGCCAGCGUAAUCGGAAUA